AGAGUUUGAUCAUGGCUCAGAUUGAACGCUGGCGGCAUGCUUAAUACAUGCAAGUCGAACGGUAACAGAUUCUUCGGAAUGCUGACGAGUGGCGGACGGGUGAGUAAUACAUAGGAAUCUGCCCAUGUAGUGGGGGACAACUUGGGGAAACUCAAGCUAGUACCGCAUAAUUCCUACGGGAUAAAGAGGGCCACUGCUUGCAAGCUCUUGCUACUGGAUGAGCCUAUGUCGGAUUAGUUAGUUGGUAAGGUAAUGGCUUACCAAGACAGCGAUCCGUAGCUGGUUUGAGAGGAUGAUCAGCCACACUGGGACUGAGACACGGCCCAGACUCCUACGGGAGGCAGCAGUAGGGAGUAUUGGACAAUGGGCGCAAGCCUGAUCCAGCAAUGCCGCGUGUGUGAAGAAGGCCUGCGGGUUGUAAAGCACUUUCAAUUGGGAAGAAAGAUUAUGAGUUAAUACCUUAUAAUAUUGACG
rnacentral:rRNA from 1 species